GCCUGCUAGCCGCAGUAUUUUGACUGUGCGAAGGUAGCAUAAUCAUUUGUCUUUUAAUUGAAGGCCGGAAUGAAUGGCGAAACGAGAAAAUACCUGUCUUUGAAUUUCACUUUUUAGUGCAAAGGCUAAAAUGUUUCCAGAGGACGAUCAGACCCUGCGGAGCUUCUUGGUUGGGGCGACAAUAUCUGAUCCCUAAAGAAGGAUCAUAAGACUAAGUUACCCCAGGGAUAACAGCGUCAUCUUUUUGGAGAGUUCUUAUCGAUAAAAAGGGUUGCGACCUCGAUGUUGGAUCAAGGGAUCCUUAAGGUGCAGCAGCUUUAAAGGAAAGUCUGUUCGACUUUUAAAUCCUU
rnacentral:rRNA from 1 species